UACUUUGAGACCUCAGCAAAAGAGAAUUAUAAUGUCGAUGAAGCAUUUCUAUGCGUUGCAAGAACUGCACUAGCUACUGAACAUGAACAUGACAUAUACUUCCAGGGUAUAUCAGAAACUGUAUCAGAAGUUGAACAAAGAGGAGGAUGUGCAUGCUGAGAAAGGAUCAAAUAUACAUAUAAAAGUACUGGACUUGGAAUCUAUCUCCAAUAGAUCCAACGGUGCAGAAAUAAGGCAGACGUACUCAUCGAAAAGACACAGUCUCUCACGCUGAAACAGAGGGAUGGAUAGAAACCUCAGAAACGCAGGCCCAAGCCCUAGCGAGCGAACAAAUAUAGAGAUCGAAGAAGAAGAGAACAAAAACUACUAAGCUCCGAUCAUGGCGUUCACUUCACGUCUUCUAUCCAGAUCCAAACAGGUAUUUUCAGAUCAAUUUCUCUUUAUCCACGUUUUCAUCCCUUAGUUCAUCGAAUCAUAAGCUCAUUUCCCUUAAUUAUUACUCACUGUUUUCGAUUCCUUUUAUCCUUCGUUUGGUUUCCGAGAAAAUGACAGCAGCCCGAGGAAAAAUUAAGUGGAACUAAGAGAAAUGCCGAAUCUAAGUCAAAGUGGCUGCGUUAUACAAUGUUAUUGUUGUUAUUAUUUUGAAUUUUGGAUUUUGAUUUUAAUAGAUUAGAUAUGGAAAUGAAUCUGAUCAUGUGUAUUGGUGUUUUUGGUCUGCACUGAUAAUUUGGGAUUAAUAUGUACAUGCAUGAGGGUUUGAUGUUAUGAACUUUUUAUAGUGGGUGGCUCUGAACAUGGCUGUAUUUGCUGGUAAAAUGGAAUUAACUCUGAAAUGAAUAGAUUGUCACUGGAAAUUUAUACUUUGAUUGGGUUUUGGGGGGAAACAAUUGUAUGUAGUUUUAAAUCAUGGUCCCAUGCUUUGUUCCUGAGAAUACUGAAUUGGGUCCACCCAAGUUUUAUUGUGGUUUUACUGUCUUCUUCACUGCCAUUCUUAGCUUAACCAAUAUGAUAAAUAUUCUGCUAAAUAACUAUGAUUGAUUGGGUAUGCUGCAACUAGUGUGGUUGAUUUCACAUUGAGUUGCAAUGUGAAACCUGAAAUAAUGUUCUCAUACAAAAUCCUGGAAAGAAACUUUGAUGGUGAUAUCAACAAAGCAGAGGUGGGUACAAAACAUACUGCAUUUUAAUCUAAGUUGGAUAAGAUGUUAUUGGCAUUUUCGUUCAUGUUCUUAAGAUUCUAUCCCGAUUGGGGAAGCACUGUGUUUUAUGUUUAUCAUUAUGAUUUUUUUUAGUUUUUAUUUUGAUUUGGUUCCUCUAGUUUUAACAUCUUUUUCUGUUGGAAUUAUACAGCUGUAUGGCAGUCAAGUCAUUCUGCAACAGGAGCAUGUUAUUCCAGUCCGUUAUUUUGCCAAAAAAUCUGAACCUCCAGCUCUUAAGGGAGAUGAGAUGCUAAAGAACAUCUUUCUGGAUGUCAAGAAGAAAUUUGAGACAGCCAUUGGAAUACUUAGGAAGGAGAAGAUCACCAUAGAUCCUGAGGAUCCAGCUGCUGUGAAUCAAUAUGCAAAGGUCAUGAAGACAAUUAGAGAGAAGUAAACAAAUCUUUCCCUUAAUUUUUACCCUUACCAUCUCUCUUUCACUAUAAAAAAUAAAAAUUGAACUAAAAUACAUGUUAUUAUAGUUUCUUGGCUUUCUCCUGAGGUAUAAUAUCUCUAUGUUUAGCAUCCUUUUCCCGUAAUCUAAUUCUGUAAAAUGGCAAGGAUAUUUUAUAUAUAAGCACAAGACAUUGCUACUAAUUCCUUUUUUAAAAUUUUUCAUUCCUUCUUUUUCUGUAAUUAAUGCACAUAUUAUUUUCGUUUAGUACAAAAUAUUUGAGAUUGACUAGCAAUUACAAUAUUCUAUUUUAGACAGAUUUAGAAUAACAUCUCCAUGAUUAGCAUCUCCUUAAUGUUUUUUCUGUAUGCCUUUGGCUCCUGCUAUUAUAUAACUGCUCUUGAAGUAUGUACUAUGAGUAUUUGAGUUAAAUGUUGUAUUUCCUGCAGGGCUGAUUUGUUCUCUGAGUCACAGAGAAUAAAAUACACCAUCGAGACGCGAACUAAGGAUAUUCCAGAUGCUCGGACAUAUUUGUUGACAUUGAAGGAAAUACGAAUUAAGAGAGGUCUCACUGAUGAACUUGGUGCAGAAGCUAUGAUGAUGGAUGCUUUGGAGAAAGUUGAAAAGGAAAUCAAGAAACCUCUCAUGAGGAGUGAUAAGAAAGGAAUGGCUCUUCUAAUGACAGAAUUUGACAAAAUUAAUGGGAAGUAAGAAUCAUUCAACAAUGGAAUCUUUAUUUUGUUUUUGUGAUUAUCAUAUUGUUGUAUGAUCAUGCUUGCUUGGAACCCAUUGAGAUUGCUUUAUCUUUUAUGUAAAACUUAUAAAUGACCAAGUGGUUGGAGCGAAGAUUUUAUGGAACUCAAUUCUGUGUGGCCAUUUGCUUGAAAAAAGGAUAGGACUAGCCACUGUAACUAUGAACAUGAUCUGCAAUUACCAACUACCAAAUUUGUUUGUUCAUUAUAUAUAAUCUAGAGGUGUUGAGUGCUAGUUCAAUGAGUUGGUGUCUCAUAUUGUAUUACAUUUUCCUUAUGGUUUCUUGACAAUGAAUGCUGCUGUUUUUAUCAGAGGUAUGAUGUUGCCGGAAUUUAGGUUGCCUUUAAUGAUGCUUGAAUUUUAUAUCUUUGUUAUUUAUGUCAACAGGCUUGGAAUUCGUAAGGAAGAUCUUCCAAAGUAUGAAGAAGAGUUAGAACUCAAAAUUGCCAAAGCACAAUUAGAGGAGUUGAAGAAGGAUGCUCUUGAGGCCAUGGAAACCCAAAAGAAGAGGGAGGAAUUCAAGGACGAGGCAAUGAUAGAUGUGAAAUCUUUGGACAUCCGGAACUUCAUCUGAGAAUGUGCUGUGCUUGUUGACGGCUUUGAUUUGAUGCUAAACAAUUGUCCUGACACAAAGGAGACCACCUGCAUAGGAGGUGGGGAGUACAUCUGUUUUGCUUGAUAAUAAAGACCCAUCUAUUUUGCAGUUACAACUGCAGCAACUCGGUGGAUAUUAGGCUUUUUUGCCCAUUCAAUUUAAUUGAAAUGAAGAGCUGGAAAUAUGUUGUCACUUCUGCUGUGAAAUGAUAUUUCAGGGAGUUCUCUCCAACAUUUUCUAUUCGGGAACCUAGUGGUAUUAUUUUCAUACUCCCAACACUUUGUCCUGCUGUUUUUUGGCUGAUUCUCUUUUCCUGCACGUUUGCUUCUCAGUGUUGACUCUCAAUUUCUUGUCCCAAUUGCUGUUAGAAAAGCAAGUUGGAUUUAUUGUGAGACUUGGCCUAUGAAGAGUAAGACAUUUUGUGCUGGAUGGCCGUUUUGAAUUGCGUUAUUUCUCUUGCGUUUGCUGAUGAUAAUCCAGGGCUGCGCAUAUGUUGACCGAGACCGAAACCAAAAAACUGGAAUGCAAUUUGUAGUGGACCGAACUGAAUCAAUGUUAAGAGACUAACUAAAUCAAAUCAAAUUGAAAUAACUUGAUCUCAGCUUGGUCAAUCAAUUAUUUCAAUUUGCAUUGUAUCUGUACCCCCGAUAAUCUCAGUUUCUGCUUUGUGUUCUGAGAGUUCAAAUUGUGUCUCAAAGAAACCUUGGUUGGUAUCAAUAUUCAUCAUGCAACAUUCAUACC
rnacentral:misc_RNA from 1 species